rnacentral:rRNA from 1 species
CACCUUUUGAGAUUCUUCGGAUGAUCGAUCGGUGACUGAGUGGCGGACGGGUGAGUAACGCGUGGGUAACCUGCCCUGUACAGGGGGGAUAACAGCUGGAAACGGCUGCUAAUACCGCAUAAGCGCACGAGGAGACAUCUCCUUGUGUGAAAAACUCCGGUGGUACAGGAUGGGCCCGCGUCUGAUUAGCUGGUUGGCAGGGUAACGGCCUACCAAGGCAACGAUCAGUAGCCGGUCUGAGAGGAUGAACGGCCACAUUGGAACUGAGACACGGUCCAAACUCCUACGGGAGGCAGCAGUGGGGAAUAUUGCACAAUGGGGGAAACCCUGAUGCAGCAACGCCGCGUGAGUGAAGAAGUAUUUCGGUAUGUAAAGCUCUAUCAGCAGGGAAGAUAAUGACGGUACCUGACUAAGAAGCUCCGGCUAAAUACGUGCCAGCAGCCGCGGUAAUACGUAUGGAGCAAGCGUUAUCCGGAUUUACUGGGUGUAAAGGGUGCGUAGGUGGCAGUGCAAGUCAGAUGUGAAAGGCCGGGGCUCAACCCCGGAGCUGCAUUUGAAACUGCAUAGCUAGAGUACAGGAGAGGCAGGCGGAAUUCCUAGUGUAGCGGUGAAAUGCGUAGAUAUUAGGAGGAACACCAGUGGCGAAGGCGGUCUGCUGGACUGUUACUGACACUGAGGCACGAAAGCGUGGGGAGCAAACAGGAUUAGAUACCCUGGUAGUCCACGUCGUAAACGAUGAAUACUAGGUGUCGGGGCCGUAUAGGCUCCGGUGCCGCCGCAAACGCAGUAAGUAUUCCACCUGGGGAGUACGUUCGCAAGAAUGAAACUCAAAGGAAUUGACGGGGACCCGCACAAGCGGUGG